rnacentral:rRNA from 1 species
GAUGAACGCUAGCGGGAGGCUUAAUACAUGCAAGUCGAGGGGUAACAUGAGAGCUUGCUCUUGAUGACGACCGGCGCACGGGUGAGUAACGCGUACACUACCUACCUUAGACUGGGGGACACACACUGGAAACGGAGUAAAUACCCCAUGGUAUCGUAAGAUUAAAGCUUCGGCGGUCUAAGAUGGGUGUGCGUACUAUUAGAUAGUUGGUGAGGUAACGGCUCACCAAGUCGACGAUAGUUAGGGGGCGUGAGAGCGUGACCCCCCACACGGGUACUGAGACACGGACCCGACUCCUACGGGAGGCAGCAGUAAGGAAUAUUGGACAAUGGGGGCAACCCUGAUCCAGCCAUCCCGCGUGAAGGAUGACGGCCCUCUGGGUUGUAAACUUCUUUUAUAUACCAAGAAUAGCAGAUAUUUAUAUUUGUAUGACGGUAGUAUAUGAAUAAGCACCGGCUAACUCCG